rnacentral:pre_miRNA from 1 species
AUAUUACUCCUUCCGUUUGAAAAUACUUGUCAUGAGAAUAAAUGUAUCUAGAUGUAUUUAAAUUCUAAAUACAUUUAUUUUUAUUUAUUUUUUACUACAAGUAAUCUCGGACGGAGGGAGUAGUUA